CUUGUCUCAGUUCGGAUUGUAGGCUGAAACUCGCCUACAUGAAGCUGGAGUUGCUAGUAAUCGCGAAUCAGCAUGCCGCGGUGAAUACGUUCCCGGGCCUUGUACACACCGCCCGUCACACCAUGAGAGUCGGGAACACCCGAAGUCCGUAGUCUAACCGCAAGGGGGGCGCGGCCGAAGGUGGGUCCGGUAAUUGGGGUGAAGUCGUAACAAGGUACC
rnacentral:rRNA from 1 species